GAGGGGACGUGGCCGCGCCACCAUCUGGAGAGUGAAGACCCCAGCAAGGCCCUGCCUGCCCUAGGGCCCUUGACAUGCACACACAUGUAUUCCAUUUCAUAUGCUCACUGACAUAAGGCUGUAGACAUCAAACACAGUCUCACAGGAGUACACACACACUUACAGGGAAAAACACAGGACUCUCUCCCUGUCUACAGGUAAUCAUAACACCAGGUGCCCAGCGCCUUGGCAGAGAAGGAGGGCACCAGAGUAGCGGGUGCAGGGAACAGAGGGAUGCUGUGCUUUUGGCUUAGUGGAGAGUGUGUGGAGGGGCCUGGAGCCAGGUGAGCCCAGAUUGAGGAGGAGGGGGCCGUGGGGGGUGCUUUGAAUGCCAUUGAAGGUACUGGGGAGCCACAGAAGGUUUCUGGGAGAAUAAGAAGAUGGGAAUUGAGGGCCCUGUGGAAGAGUCUGGUGGGGAGGCAGGAAACAGGGAGUGGCCUGUUUAACACUGGGCGCUGGUGGUUCCAUUCCGAAUCCCAGGUUCCCAGCAUAGGUGAGUGAGCACAAGGCUCAGGAAACAGUUCUUGAAUGAAUGAAUGGCCCAGGCAAGGUGAGGCCUGAACUCAGACCAGGACAGGGGGAUGGAAGAGAGGAGUGGGUUGCCAGAGGCCACUGUGCUUGGCUGCUGUGGCAGCUGAUCGGUUGGAGAAGUCUAAGAUGCUUGGGGGUCUGGGGACCAUAGUAGUACCAUUAGCAGGAAGCAGCGAAAGCAAUGGGAGCAGCACAUUUGUAGGAUGGUGAAAGACAGAUGUGGAGAGGUUGGCAUGGCAAUGACUUCACUGCUUGGAGCCGGUUUGCAUCUGAGUAAAAGCAUAAGUGAGUUUAAAUGUCCCAGAAUUGGUGUCCAUUAAAUCAUCCCAUAAUUGAGAACAGAAAAGGAGAUUGCAGAAGACACAGAUGGCCAAGUCUAUACCAGUUCACAAGCCACCCAGGAGUUUCCCUCUCCAGUGUCAGUGGAAGCUGAUGGAGAAUCGAGGUCUGGACCCAGGGACUCGGGACUCCUAUGGUGCCACCAGCCACCUCCCCAACAAGGGGGCCCUGGCAAAAGCCAAGAACAACUUCAAAGACCUGAUGUCCAAGCUGACAGAGGGCCAGUAUGUGCUGUGCCGGUGGACAGAUGGACUGUAUUAUCUCGGGAAGAUCAAGAGGGUCAGCAGUUCUAAGCAGAGCUGCCUUGUAACUUUUGAAGAUAACUCCAAAUACUGGGUCUUGUGGAAGGACAUACAGCAUGCUGGUGUUCCAGGAGAGGAACCCAAGUGCAACAUCUGCCUGGGGAAGACAUCAGGACCACUGAAUGAGAUCCUCAUCUGUGGGAAGUGUGGCCUGGGUUACCACCAGCAGUGCCACAUCCCCAUAGCGGGCAGUGCCGACCGGCCCCUGCUCACACCUUGGUUCUGCCGACGCUGCAUCUUUGCGCUGGCUGUGCGGAAAGGCGGCGCGCUGAAGAAGGGCGCCAUCGCCAGGACCCUGCAGGCUGUGAAGAUGGUGCUGUCCUACCAGCCCGAGGAGCUGGAGUGGGACUCGCCCCACCGCACCAACCAGCAGCAAUGCUACUGCUACUGCGGCGGGCCGGGAGAAUGGUACCUGCGGAUGCUGCAGUGUUACCGGUGCAGGCAGUGGUUCCACGAGGCCUGCACCCAGUGUCUCAAUGAGCCCAUGAUGUUCGGAGACCGGUUCUACCUGUUUUUCUGCUCCGUGUGCAACCAGGGCCCAGAGUACAUCGAGAGGUUGCCCCUGCGAUGGGUCGAUGUGGUUCACCUGGCCCUCUACAACCUGGGGGUGCAGAGCAAGAAGAAGUACUUUGACUUUGAGGAGAUUCUGGCCUUUGUCAACCACCACUGGGAGCUCCUGCAGCUUGGCAAGCUCACCAGCACCCCCGUGACGGACCGAGGACCGCAUCUCCUCAACGCUCUGAACAGUUAUAAAAGCCGGUUCCUCUGUGGCAAGGAGAUCAAGAAGAAGAAGUGCAUCUUCCGCCUGCGCAUCCGCGUCCCGCCCAACCCCCCCGGGAAGCUGCUGCCCGACAAGGGCCUGGUGCCCACUGAGAACGGCGCCUCUGAGCUGCGUAAGAGAGGAAAGAGCAAGCCUGGUUUGUUGCCUCAUGAUUUCCAGCAGCAGAAAAGGCGAGUUUAUAGAAGAAAAAGAUCAAAGUUUUUGCUGGAAGAUGCUAUCCCCAGUAGUGACUUUACCUCGGCCUGGAGCACCAACCACCACCUAGCCAGCAUAUUUGACUUCACGCUGGAUGAGAUACAGAGUUUAAAAAGCGCCAGCUCAGGCCAGACCUUCUUCUCCGACGUGGACUCCACUGAUGCUGCCAGCACCUCUGGCUCCGCUUCCACCAGCCUUUCCUACGACUCCAGACGGACAGUGGGCAGCCGCAAGAGGAAGCUGGCAGCCAAAGCGUACAUGCCACUGAGGGCAAAGCGGCGGGCGGCCGAGCUGGGUGGACGCUGCCCCUCCGACAGCAGCGCAGAGGGGGCCUCAGGCCCUGAGCGGCCCGACGAGGGCAUCGACAGCCACACGUUCGAGAGCAUCAGUGAAGAUGACUCGUCCUUGUCCCACCUCAAGUCAUCCAUCACCAACUAUUUUGGCGCAGCCGGGCGGUUAGCCUGUGGGGAGAAGUACCAGGUGCUGGCUCGGAGGGUCACGCCUGAGGGCAAGGUUCAGUACCUGGUGGAGUGGGAAGGGACUACCCCUUACUGACCAGCCCCUAAAGGAUGCCAGCAGUCCUGGAAACCAAAGGAGAGACAGCGGAAGCCACAGGCUCCCCAGUUCUCUCCAGGCUGGGGUGGGGGAGGGAAGCAAGACGGAGCUGCAAGUGCCUGGCCAGAGCCCUGCCUGCCCGCCUGCCUGCCAGGGCUGUGCCUCCACUGUGCCCGUUCUGCUCUCCGGCCCCCUCAGGCUCACCACCUCUUUGCCUGUGUCUCUGAGGUCCCGCUGGCUACUUCUCAGUGUCUCCACACACUCCCUCAAACUGUUUACCUGUUCCUCUGAAUUAGUGUCCUGCUGGCUCUGAGGGCUGUUCCUGAUGCCCGAGUCUUUGUCCCCAGUGCGUCCCUUUACCUUUCCUUCCCCUUUUGGGUGUGUGUGUUUACACACCCAACCCUCCACUGGACAUCCUUACACCUGACCCAUCCCAGGGACCACAUCAUGAGAACAGAAACCUUUGAGAAAGACUGGGUGAAGGUGGGUAAGAGGAUGCCUUGAGGAGCCUUUCCCUCUCACUUUCCCGCCUCUCCUUCUGCCCUUGGGAAGAGGUGGUGAGGGUGGGAGAGAGAAUGCCUCUGGAAAGCCCGUGUGGCAGAGGCCCUGGGACCUCAGGAUCUGAGGCGUGAGGAGACUCGGCCUCUGCUUCCGAAGGCACCAGCACCAGAGCCCAGUUAUUAAGGCCCAGAGUGCAGGCUGCAGGCGUCAGCUUCUGAGACCCGUGUUCCCUCCCCUGGCCACAUCCCUCUCUGUUACCAUGGAGCUGGGCCUGGCCUCGCAAACCUGAGGCUGAAGGAAAGGAAGCUGUGUCCUGCUACACCUCAGACUGUCUCCUCUGCCUCCCACCCGCAGACUCACCCCCCCACGCAGAAGCUUCCAUCUGCAUGUGUGCUUUCACCUCCAGGCACACACACGGGCCCCGGCCUCCAGGUGUACACACACCACACACACCACACCCACACCCACACCCACACCCACACACAUUCCUUAGGGUGCCAGCGUGGCUCCUGCCCUUGGCUUUUCCUUGGCUCUCUUCUGGGGGCCAUGUGCUGCAACUCAAUGUGAACAUCCAGCACCUGCCCGUGAACCAGCUGCGACCCUAGAGGGAGGCACGGGGGACUCAUACCCUCUUCCUUAUCCCCUGCCCCGUUCUGAAAUUGACAAUCACUUUUGGGGCAGGUUGGGAUUUUUUUAAAGGGCCUGAGUCAUUAAGUCCCCUCAAAGGGAAGCCUUUGUCAGUGGGAAUAUACAUAGAGUUCUUAGAACCAACAUUAAAACUCAGACCCACCUGGAGGGAGACCAAAAAUGGGAGGGGGAGGAGACCCCUCAUUUUUGCUGCUUCCAGAGGUAUUAGAAACUGACUCACUUGAUUGGAAAGAAGUGCCUUGACUGGGGCGAGGGGUGUUACCUGAUGGGGACCAUCCUUGCCAACUGCUGCUGUGGCCUCCGGCUCGGCUGGGUUUUGGAGGCUGCCGGCUGCAAGGUGAAGGGGGGUGAACAGUGAGCUGAGGGCAGCAGGCCUGGAGCUGGUUUUUCCAUUAGGCUGACCCCUCCCCAUCUGUGGGCAUUCAGGGGGGUCCCUGAGAGAGUUCAGAUGCCCCUUGCCUCAAACCUCAGCCCCAACAGUGCCUUUCAACUGGGACCUCACCUCCUGUACACAGCCCACCCACUUCCUUCUGCUUCCCAGCAUGGUCCAGGCAGGAACAAGCUGGUUGGGCCCAGUUCUCUCCCUUCUCAGCUCCACAGCUGCUGCCACUGAAGCCCGCAACUGGGGCCAGGUGGAAGGGGAGCUGAGAAGGCAGCUCCCAACCGCCUGAAGUACGGGGCCAGACCUAACCGGGUGCCUCCUGCCUGGCUCCAGAGAACACAGCAGCCUCCCAGGCCUGCCUUCCAGGCUCCUGAGAAAGUGCAGGAUGAACACAGCCUGUCAGUGGACCUGUACCUCCUCCACUCAAGCUCCAGAGGCUCUGGCCUUGAAGAGGAGGACGGGGGGAGACAGUGUCUUCCUCACCUGGAGUGAAAUAUCAGCUGUUGGGUACCAGGAGGAAUUAGCUCUGGUUUCCUGGAAGGUGAAGAGGAAUGGUGAGACCCCAUCCUCUCUCUGGCCACUGUGCCACUCCUACCACCACCACAUUCUCUCAGCAAUAUUCUCACCUUUGCCACCAGAAGGAUGUGGAACCUUUUUUCUGUGAGUACCUGACCCAUGGGGGCAAAAAACAUUUGCUGAGGGCCACAGAGAAGUGAAAGCUGGGGACUGAGUUUAGAAUGCGACCCUACGAAGAUGCUUAAGUACAGGCACUGUAAAACUUCGUUCAGAGUUUGCAAGCACACAGUUGUAGAAAUCUGAAGUGCAUUCCUGGCCUGGCUCUGCUGGUUGGAACCUGCACCACUUUGUCAGGUUCCUUUGCUCCAGUUCCUCACCCUUCACAUGCCUGGGAGAAUCCCCGCUGUAUUCAGCACCGCAGAUACUGAGGGAGCCCUCUCACAUACAAAUGUGAUGGACUACCACCUUAAAUAAACUUCUCUAAAUCGGGGGUAGUUUGGAGAGAGAACAAGAGGCAGCAUGAAGGGAUAGGAAAAAGCUACAGGGAACUGAAGGCUAUGAGUUCAACUGAACUCUGUUUUCAGAGGUUAGUGUAGCAUGUUAAACCCCAAGUGUUAAUGUCUGCCCUUAAAAAUCUUCUUUAACUACGGCUCCCGCUUUUUCCUACCACUCUUUCUGCUGCAACUUUAUAACUGCCCUUGGAACAAAACCACAGUUGGAGCUAGGGCGGGGUAGAGGAUGGGAUUAUUCUCUGGGCUGAAAUCAGCGUAAUGGAAUAAAAAGUGAACGGCACCAAGCAUCCAGAGAUCUGGGCUCUAGUCCAAGUUCUACAGUGAAGAGCCCUAUACACCCUCCUGAGGUGAGUGGUCUCCCCGAGCUGGGGAGUCCCUGCUGUUCCUGUGUGGUCUACGUUAGUGUUCACAAAUUUACAACACAUAUCUAUCUACGUUUAGAAUUUAGGAGCAAGAAAUCAGAAUUCUCAAAAAUUCCCCAAAUCAUAACUUAUUCUUAAAAUACUGUGAACAUUCUUCAUACUUUCCCCGUUAUUACAGAUAUCUAAAAAAAAAAAAAAUUAACAAAUAGGAAUAGUAAGCUUAGUAGAAUUUAGAGAAAACUACAGCCUCUAGGGAAUACUUAAACACUGGAAAACACCAGGGAACAUUAUUGGAUAGUAUUCAAAUAAUGUAACAUUCAAAUAUCCUAACAAGGUUAGGAGUAUACAGAAUCAUGUGUCAAAAUUGCCAAAUUAAGAAUUUAUUUUGCUUCCAAAGCUUAUUUCUUGGAACACUGCUCAUAGGAUUUGUAUAAAGUACACUACAUGUAUAAACUUAUCUUAUUUGCAAGAAUAACUCACAGUUUGCGGCAGACAGGGCUACACACACACUCUUAUGACGUGCCAACAAUCACAGGCAAGACUGACUCAGUGGAAACCAUCUCUCUUCUACAUGCUCCUGUCCUGGUUCUCUUAGUCUUCAACUCUAUGUUAGCAUUUCUUGCUCUAGUUUUUUAUUUGAUGAAGCUGGAGUCCCUCAAACCAGCAACGUCUCUAUGCUUUUAAGCUUUAGUGUUCACGGAUAAAACUUUAAUACUUUUUCACAUUUCCUCAACUGACUCUCCUCUCCCAGGGAUUCUGGGAUCAAAAAACAUAAGUUUCCUGAGAAAUGCUGGGAAGGAAUUCCCGCGUGGAAACCCUGAUGAAGGUCCUAGCCCCAGCUCCCACAGCAUCAUCUGGGAGGACAAUGUGGUAUAGUGGCCAAACCAUGUAAGCUGGAGUCACACAGACCCUAACCAUUAAACUCCUCUAAAUCCGUUCCCUCAUCUGCAGAAUUGAAGAUAUCACCAACAUACAGAUCUGUGGGGAGAAGUAAUGCAAUAUAUCAACACCAACUACCACACGUUUUCAGAGCGAAUAACUCUUCCUUUAGAGUUGGCUACAGCAGGUUCUCUGGAUCUUUGGCCUACAAAGGGAUACACCCAACCUCUUUGAAAGAGGCAGUAAGAGCAUCAGAUUUAGAAUCAGAGACUUGGGUUAGGAGCCUAGUUCUGCCAUUUACUUUUAAGUGUCUCCUGCUCUCUGACCUCAGGUUUCAACUGCAAAAUGAGGAUAACACUGACUUGUAAGGAUAAAAUAAUGUUAAGAACCUAGGGCAGUACCUGGCAGAGACAGCUGGUGUCUUGUCCCUGUCUUCUCCUAUUGCCUAUAGUCAGCUGUGACACUGUCACAAAGGAAGGCCACCAAGAAACAGUUUUCAAUGCACAGUCAGCACAGAAAAUGAACUAAUGAAGGCCAGAGAUAGAAAGAAAAACCUCCUUUGGAAUUAGUCCCACCUAAAAAAAGUUGAAGGAAAAAAAGUUGGAUUUUUGCCAACUCCAUAAAUUAGGAAGUAAUUGUGGACCAUAGAGAAAGCUUUAGCUAUUCAAAUCCUUGUAACAUCAAUUCAGGAAAUUAUCUGCCAAACCCAGUGCAAGAGAUCAAAUGGAUUCAAACAUAUCCCUCACCUCGAGCAGCUCACAGUCUAGAAACAGGAGACUGACUGUGACACACAAGGAUAACAGGACAUCAAGGCAGGAGAGAUUCCUUCCAACCAGGGAUGCCAGCCCUUGCCAAGAAGGCUUCUUAAGCACUCAUGCAGAAGGGUGAUCAGGCAGAGGGGAUGGCCUGAACACGGGAGUAACAGCACAGCACACUGGAGCACCCACAUGCCAGAAUAGGUGAGGACUGAAAAUUGAGUUGAGACAAGGCUCUGAAGGGCCUUGAAAUCCAGACCAAGAAAUUGACUUUAUCGUGAAAGCAAUACGGACAGUCCAUUUGGGGUCCCCAGUACAUUUUCGGUAGGGUUUACUUUACACAAGAUUUUCACAUGCACCAGAAACAUCUGUCAUAAAAAAAAAGGACAUCACCAUUAACAUUUUCUUUCUUCUCCUGAGGCAGCCCACCAAACUCCCCACUAUCACAAACAGGAUCCUCUGGACCUUUGGAAGGGGCUCAGCCUGAAGUCGCUACAUGGUCUUCAUGGAAGGGUCCUUGCAGAUCCUCCCUCAUUUUAUAUCUGGAGGAACUAAGGUCCAAGAAGCACAGAAGGUGUCAGAACCAGAGGCUGGCAACACCCUUCCCACACACCCUUCCCUCUUGAGAAGGAAGACCUAGGAUACCGCAGAUGUCUGUGGACUCCCACCCAAACUGCCCAUGGUGUCCCCAGAGCGGAGUCACCUUGUGACAGAGCCAUGGAAGCAGCCUAGAUCAGGUCUCUCUUCUCACCCCACAGGGAUCUUCCCCGUGGAGAAGACACCUGUGGAACAGGUUUAGGAGAGCACCAGACAGAGUGAGCAGCCUUGGCUAUCCCGUCUGUAACUCAGCAUUGCCACCCACUUUCUGGACCUCAUUGCAGUUCAGUUUCCUUUCCUAUAAAAUGGAGACUGGCUUAGGCCACUGGUUUACAAACUUUUAACAACAGAAACUUAGCUCAAUACAUAAAAAUAAUAAAAGCACAGUUGCACUGGUUGAAGUAUGAGUAGCCCCCAGGAUACCUUCUGUGAACCCCUGGGGUUCUGUGGAGCAAGUCUGAAAAACACUUGUCUAGCAGUCCCCCUGGGUUCUUCCUCCUUCAGGAUGCUCAGUUUCAAUGCUCAAGUGGAGAGGUUAGUAUGGUGGGCUCAGAACCCAUGUCUCCACUGAUCAGGGCACCAGAACCUUCUGAUGUCUGCCCCUUCAGGCUAGGAAAGAGUCAAGACCUACUCCCAAUCCGUGAGGCUAUGUCUAAGCCCUAAUACUCCCUAGUGCUACGUGCACUCAGGAAGCCCACUUCCAGUCCCACUUCCUCAGGACUCAGGAAUAACAAACACCAUCUUUAGCUAGAAGAAAUAAAAUCCUGCUUGUCCCUGAAAUUCCACCAUUAGCAAUUCAUGCUUUUGGAUAGAGCACUUCCAGUUCCCCUAGAAGGUGGCAUUCGCCCCACACACUUCUGGGUGACAGGUCAACAGGUCCAUUCCUCAUGAGAGGCAGGAGAGUAAUAACAUACUAGGCACUCAAUAUAGGCUCAGUGAAUGUAGAUGACAAACCUCACCCUCACUGCUGCCUCCCCUUGGUCCCCAUACACAGUCACCCUCGCCCUCCCACCCCCAGCCACCUUUACGCAUGAUGCACUCAGAGACAAGAUCCACGGGGUUCUUGCUUGGCCUGACUGGCCCAGCGUCCUCUUCCAGCCUCAGAAGCCUUGGGCCUUCACCCUCCACAAGUUACUUAACUCCUCUGUGCUGACAAAAGCAUGGAAUCCAGAGAUGCGAGGGGGCAGAGAGAAGCCUCCCCUCCCCCAGAGAACAGCUGAUGAAGGUUAGAGUCAGCCAGCAGGAGGCACAAGAAGCCCCCACUCAUUCCUCCUCCAUGCCCUCCUCCAGCCACUUUAAAUAGUGCACAUCUCCUUGGUCCAUGGGAAGACUGAAGACCUCUGGGAUUUCAAAAGGAUGCACCAACCUUUGGAAAGAAAGCAGAGCUCUGUGAGUGACCAGGAUUAGUCAGCCUAUGCAAUAAAACCCAACUGGGCAGCCUCACUUGAGGCCCUCUGCAAUAUGCCUGCAGCCCACUGCUCCAGCCCCACAGCCCACCACUCCUACGCCUGUUACCCAUCUGUCACCAAGUGAUGAGUUAGGCCAGACGGCUUUAGAGUCUCACAGACAUGGGUUCAAAUUCUAAGCCUGCCACUUACUAGCUAUGUAAGCACGGACAAAUCACUUAAUUUCCCUAAAGGCCCUGCAAAAGAGGGGAUAAAAAUAGUACCUAUGUGACUGGAUUGCUGAGGAUUACAUGAGACAAGGUAUAUAAGGCACAUACCUGGUACACUGGCGCUGUAUGCAUUCAGUAAAUGUUAGCUACUGUUUUUAUUACUAUCCUUCACUCAUCACUGGGCCUUCCGCAAACAACUCCCCCUUCCCCUGUACCUCUGUAUUCUCUUCUCCACCUAGAAAGUUCUCCCUGUUCCUGCUGAUAAAUCAAAAGCCUCUCUGUUCCUCAAGGCUCAACUCAACCACUGACCUUUCCCCAGGGAUCUUCCUUGACCAUCCAAACCCACAGCAAUCUCUCCCUUUUCCCCAUUUCUUUCACCUAGUCCUCACCUAGUCCUGGCACAAAAUGCCAGUUCUCUUCACUUUCCAAAUGGAAAAAACAUGAGGCCUUGGGCGCUGGUCCCAUCUGUCACACAGGAGUAAUGAUCCUCUGCUGCUUUUUUGCUGAAUUAGGCACUGUAAAGUUCUCAUGAGAUAGAAUGUUUACUAAAUCACAACAUGUGUAUGUACAGGUGCUUAAACAUUAGCAGUAAGCUGGGUAAUUUUAUCUAAUGCCUGAGAAAAAUGAAUUUUCUUAUUUCACGGAUACCUAGACCAGUGUAUGUGUUUUUAUAAGCAGACACACAGAAUUCAGUGUAUGUAGGUCUGAAUAGCAUUCAGCAUAAGACUUUUUUUUUUUUUUUUUUUUGCGGUACGCAGGCCUCUCACUGUUGUGGCCUCUCCCAUUGCGGAGCACAGGCUCCAGACGCGCAGGCUCAGCGGCCAUGGCUCACGGGCGCAGCCACUCCGCGGCACAUGGGAUCCUCCCGGGGCACAAACCCGUAUCCCCUGCAUCGGCAGGCGGACUCUCAACCACUGUGCCACCAGGGAAGCCCCCAGUAUAAGGCAUUUUAAUAACACUUUAGUAGUAAGAGCUGUCACUGAUACAGCAAUUCAUGCGUAUACUUGACAUAAGUUCUUUCCAAUAUGCAUAACAACCCAAGGUACUAGUAUAGUCCCCAUUUUAUAGAUGGGGCAACUGAGGCACAGAAAGUAAUUUGCAUGCACUUAUGCUACAACCAGCAAGUGGAAGAGGCAGGAUUUGACGCUGGAGGUCAAGCUCUGGGGUUCACUGUCUUAACCCUGAAGCUGUCUUUCACCAGUCAGGCUGUAAUUUCUCAACAGCACUGGUUCUACCAAAGAUACCCUAUUUCCACACCUGCGCUAAGGCAGUAACAUGAGGGCCUUCUCUACCAAUAGAUCUGAGACCCAGUAUAGCCAUAUAACCAUAGAAUCCUGCCUGGUUCCCUAAGAUGUGAAAGGAAAGGGUUUUAUCAUCCAGACAGGUGACUUGCAUCCUGGCUGCAAGGAGAGUCAACCUGGGUGCUUUGAAGAACACCAUAUUUGAUCCCCAUUCCAGAUGAAUUAGGUCAGAAUCUGAGGUGGAGCCCAAAUUGGUAAUUUGAGAAAGUCUCCAUGUGAUUAUAAUAUGUAGCCAACAUCAAAAAUCACUGGUUUAGACCAGAGAAUCUCAAGCUUUUACUGUGCAUAGGAAUCACCUGGGGAUCUUGUUGAACUGUAGUUUGAUUCAGUAGGUUUGGGGUGAGUGUGAGAUUCUGCAUUUAUGGCAAGCUUCCAGGUGAUGCCAAUUAUUACAAAACUACACUCUGAAUGAUAAAUAAGGAUUUACACCAGUGGUUCUCAAGUGGAGUCCACUGACCCCUGGGGAACUCCAAGCCUCUUUCAGGAGGUCCAUGAGGCCAAAACUAUUUUCAUAAUAAUACUAACUGUUAUUUAUCUUUUCAUUUACGUUGACAUUUGCACUGAUGGUACAAAAGCAAUGAUGGGUAAAACUGGUGGCACCUUAGCAUGCAUCAAGACAACAGCACCAAACUGUACUAGCUCUCACUGUAUUCUUCACCACCACAAUACUUGCAUUUUAAAAAAGUCAAAUUCACUUAAGAACAUUCUUGAUAAUGUGGUAAAAAUUACUAUUUUUAUUAAAGUUUGACCCUUGAGUGUGCCUUUUUAAUAUUCUGUGUGACAGAAUGGGAAGCAUACAUAAAGCACUUCUGCUAUAUACCUAAGUUCAAUGUUGUCUUACACUUGUCUGACUGAGACACAAGCUAAACUAGACUUUUCCCAAAGAAUACCAUUUUUACUUUCAAGCCUGAGUAACCAUCAUUUGUCAGUUUUACAAAUUAAGGUUACUCAGGUUUGAGUAUUAGGUAGACAUUUUAUCAAAUAUGAACAAAGUGGGCCCAUCACUCAAACGAAGACAAUUUAUAUCAUUUAAUGCCAAUUUAAAAAUUCAUGUUUUGGGGGUUGGGGAGGGAAGGACUGGGAGUCUGGGAUUAGCAGAUGCAAACUAUUAUAUACAGGAUGGGUAAACAAGGUCCUACUGAAUAGCACAGGGAACUAUAUUCCCUAUCCUUUGAUAAACCAUAAUGGAAAAGAAUAUGAAAAAGAAUAUAUAUAUAUAUAUAAAAAUGAGUCACUUUGCUCUACAGCAGAAAUUAAACACAAUAUUGUAAAUUUAAAAAAAAUCAUGUUUUUAAGCAAAAAUCAGAAGUUUGGAAAACCUGAAUUUAUCAUCAUGAGCUUAAAAGUGUCCCAACACUUAAAGAUGCUUUUGACAAGAUCCAGCUCUCUUAUUAAGCCAGAUUUUGCAAAAAUGGAAAAUGAUGCCAUUCUUCUCACUUUUUUGUUUUUUGGAAAAUAUGGUUACUUUCCAUAAAAAUACAUUACUAGCAUACCUUGUUUUAUUGCACUACGCUUUAUUACAGAUACUGUGUGUUUUUAGAAAUUGAAGGUUUGUGGCAACCCUGCAUCAAGCAAGUCUAUUGAUGCUACAUUUGCUCACUUUGUGUCUCUGUCUCACAUUUUGCUAAUUCUUGCAAAAUUUCAAACUUUUUCAUGAUUAUUAUAUUUGUUAUGGUGAUGUCAUCAGUGAUCUUUGAUGUUACUAUAAUUGUCUUUUGUUUUGUAUUUUUAAAUUAAGGUAUGUACAUUGUGUUUUUUAGACAUAACGCUAUUAACACACUUAAUACGCUGCAGUAUAGGUUAAACAUAACUUUUAUAUACACUGGGAAACCAAAAAAAAAAAUCAUAUGAUUCACUUUAUUGCGGUGGUCUGGAACCAAAGCUGUCUGAGGUAUGCCUGUAUUUAUGUUAAUAUGUAAUUGUUCUAUUACUGUUAAUUUAAAUGAACUAAAAAUACAUAUUUUAAAAAUU